AAGAGACCACUUGUUAGGCCUCAGACAAGUCCCAGAAUCUAAACUCAGUAAGAGCAACAUGGGAAGCAGAAGGAAUCUUGGGCCAAUCUUAAAGGUAGAGAGAAUAAGAAAACCUGAAAGCUGAUUCUCAGAGCCUCAAUCAUGGUCACCGGGGCCAGAUUCUUUGUCACUAUGUAUCCAACUGGAAGCCUGAGUUAGGUCCAAUGGCAAGAAUGCUGCGCCCGGAGAGAUCUAAGGACAGUCCUCCAAUGACAUUCACAUCUCAAAGUGGUCACCACUGAGUGGAAUUAAGAAAUCCAGCAACAACAGGAAAAGGUUGGCAGUUACAAAUCACCAGUGACAGGCAGGUGAGACUUAGGGAUGGGGAUUACUUAUUAUCCUGACUCUUAAACCCCAACAGAGAAAUGGGUUGAAGGAAUAGGGUAUUUCUUCUUCUUUUUUCAAAAGAUUUAUUUGUUAUUUAUUUGAUAGA